GCGACUUUGGUCUCACCAAGGAGGCGUCCAGCACCCAGGACACGGGCAAGCUGCCAGUCAAGUGGACAGCCCCUGAGGCCCUGAGAGAGAAGAAAUUCUCCACUAAGUCUGACGUGUGGAGUUUCGGAAUCCUUCUCUGGGAAAUCUACUCCUUUGGGCGAGUGCCUUAUCCAAGAAUUCCCCUGAAGGACGUCGUCCCUCGGGUGGAGAAG
rnacentral:misc_RNA from 1 species